UCCCCUCCCCAGUCAAUGAAAUUGAUCUCCCCGUGCAGAAGCGGGGAUAAUACCAUAAGACGAGAAGACCCUAUGGAGCUUUAGACGUCAGAGCAGCCCAUGUAAAGCACCCCUUAACAAAGGAAAAAACCAAAUGAAGCCUGCCCUAAUGUCUUUGGUUGGGGCGACCGCGGGGAAAUACAAAACCCCCAUGUGGAGUAGGAAUACACAUUCCUAAACCCAAGAGCUCCCGCUCUAAUGAACAGAAAUUCUGACCAAUAAGAUCCGGCACACGCCGAUCAACGGACCGAGUUACCCUAGGGAUAACAGCGCAAUCCCCUUAAAGAGCCCUUAUCGACAAGGGGGUUUACGACCUCGAUGUUGGAUCAGGACAUCCUAAUGGUGCAGCCGCUAUUAA
rnacentral:rRNA from 1 species